UUUAGUUAAUUCUAUUAGUAGUUAUAUACUUAUUUUAAAGAUUAAACUAUAUAUAUCUAAAUAUAAAUAAUUAUAUAGUAAAACUAUAAAUAGCUUAUUAUAUAAGUUAUUAUUUAUUUAAUAGUACUUUACUAUUUAGAUAACUAUAGUAAUUCUAAAGCUAAUAUAUACUAAAAAUCCUAACUUAUAAAGGGAUAUAUUUAUUAGAUUAAAAACUAAUACCCUUUAGGGCUUACUAGUGAUUUAUAAUAACUUCUCAAAUUAUAUAGCCUUAUACUAGUAAUAGUUUAUUUAAAUUUCUUUCUUAUUAACUUUUAAUACUAAAGUAGUGUUCUAAUAUAGUUAUAAUAAGUAAUAGAGAGUUAAAGCUUAACCUUAGAGAAGAAGCCUAAAAAAUAGCUACUAUAUCUAAAAAAGGUAGUAAGUAUAUAAAUUACUUAAUCCUAAUAUAAAGAGGUAGUAAUAAUAAAUACUAAUAUAAAGCUCUUUUAGGUCUUAUAAUUAGAAUAAAUAUAAUUUAAAUCCCUUAAUAAGGAAUAAUUAGAAGGUAAGUCUAAUACUAGUAGCUAUAGUAAUUCUAGCUCUAAUAGUAUAUAUUAAAGUUAUUAUAGUUAAAAAGCUUAUAGUAGAACCUUAAGCCUAGCUAGCUAGUCUACCUUACUAUAUAUACUAGUCUAGCUAAGCCUUUCCCCCUAUAGAACCUUAUACCCUUCACUAGGUAUAUAGGAAAAUAGAACUUUUACUUUAAAAAAAUUAGAAUACUCUAAGUAGGCCUAUACUUAAAUACAUUAGUAUAGAAUAAUAGAAUAGGAUAUAUAGUUCUAUUUUAUUAGUUUCUAAGACUACUAUAAUAAUUAAUAAGGAUAGUUAAAGGUAUUAGUAUUUAAUUAUUAGAGGUGAAAUUCUUAGAUUUAUUAAAAACUAACUACUAUAAAAGCAUUUACUAAGGAUAUUUUUAUUUAUUAAGAAUAAAAGUUAGGGGAUUAAAGAUAAUUAGAUAUUAUUAUAGUUUUAACUAUAAACUAUACUAACUAGGGAUUAGAUAAUAUUAUUUUUUAACUUAUUUAGUACCUUAUGAGAAAUUAAAGUGCUUAGGCUCUAGGAGGAGUAUAGUUAUAAGGCUGAAACUUAAAGAAAUUAAUAGAAGGGUACUACUAAGGGUGGAGCCUAUAGCUUAAUUUAACUUAAUAUAGGGAAACUCAUUAGGUCUAAAUAUAAUGAGGAUUAAUAGAUUAAGAGCUCUUUCUUAAUUUUAUAGGUAGUAGUGUAUAGCUAUUCUUAGUUAGUAGAGUGAUUUAUCUACUUAAUUAUAAUAACAAAUAAGACCUUAACCUACUAAUUAGCCUGUAUUACUUUAGCAAUAUGCUAACUUCUUAGAGGGACUAUUAGCUUAAGCUAAUAGAAGUUUGAGGUAAUAAUAGGUCUAUAAUACCUUUAGAUAUUCUAAGCUGUAUACGCGUUAUACUAAUAGAGCUAGCGAAUACUUCUUUAACUUAAAAGUCUAAGUAAUCUUAUUAAACUCUAUUAUACUAAGGAUAGAGCAUUAUAAUUAUUACUCUUUAAUAAGGAAUCCUUAGUAAGUAUAAGUUAUUAGCUUAUAUUAAUUAUAUCCCUACCUUUUAUAUAUACUACUUAUUACUACUACUAAUUAAAUAGCUUAGUAAAGCUUUUAGACUAAUCUAAGAGAGGAGGUAACUCUUCCCCUUAGUUAAAAAGUUAUCUAAACUUAGUUAUUUAGAGGAAGUAAAAGUUAUAAUAAGGUCUCUAUUAGUAAACUAGCAGAGG
rnacentral:rRNA from 1 species